CAGCCUGAGGGAACACUAUCAGGAGAACUCCCAUGAUCCAAUCACCUCCCAUCAGGUCCCUCCUCUGACACGUGGGGAUUACAAUUGGAGAUGAGAUUUGGACAGGGACACAGAGCCAAACCAAAUCAUUGUGGAACCAGAGGUUGAGCUUGAAGAGUUAACUUUUCCAAGGUCACAAAGUUGAGUGCAAAGGACCUAGGAAGUCCUGGACACAUGUUUGAGACUGGAGCUAUAAAAAGUAGUAUGAUACAAAUGAGUACUCUUUAAACAAUUUUGAUCAUGAACCCUGUCAAUAAAAAUUG